rnacentral:rRNA from 1 species
GACGAACCGUACGAACGUUAUUCGGAAUUACUGGGCUUAAAGGGUUUGUAGGCGGCCUUGUAAGUCAGGUGUGAAAUCCCUCGGCUCAACCGAGGAAUGGCGCUUGAUACUGCAAGGCUUGAGGGAGACAGGGGUAAGCGGAACUGAUGGUGGAGCGGUGAAAUGCGUUGAUAUCAUCAGGAACACCGGUGGCGAAAGCGGCUACUGGGUCUCUUCUGACGCUGAGGAACGAAAGCUAGGGAGCGAACGGG